ensembl:lncRNA
AUGUCAGAGGCAAAGAGAAUUCGCUCCAAAAAUUAUAGUGAGCAUGAAAAAGCACUACUAAAACUAAUUGUAUCGAACCAUCCAGUCAUUGAAAGCAAAAUCCAUACUGCUGCUAUUGAACAUAAGAAAAGAAGUGCUGGGACUGCAAUUGGCAAAGAAUUCAAUGCAAAUGAAGAUGUCACCACAAGAACAGUACAACAACUGCAGGUUCUAUGGAAGAACAUUAAACUGGGAUUAAAAAAAGAGAAUGCAGCAAGCAGAAGAGAGCGAUUUAUUACAGGUGGUGGACCACCAAUAAAGGACACAUGUGAUGAAUUGGGUGACUUGCUGUCUGGUAUAAUAGAGCACCAGCAACCUCUGGAUGGUAUACCAGACAAUGACCAUUUGGACAGUGAACAUGGAGAACUGAGCACAAAUGAGGAAACCAAUCAAGAGCCAGUUCACAACGAGCCUGAACCCUCCACAUCUGCUAUGGCACCCCUGGGAGAUGAAGCUGCUACCAUCCAACAGAGACCAAAAAAGAUAACUAUGCAUGAAAAGUUAGCCAGAGAAUUUCAUGAGCGUAAAAUUGAAUAUUUAAAAGAAGAACAUGAAAUGAAAAUGAGAAUUCUAGAGGUUGAACUGGAUAUGAAAUUGGGAGAGAGGGCUAUGCUCCAAAAAAGAAUUCUGCAUACUAGUAGCCAUGGUGAAUAUGAGGAAUUGUGA